rnacentral:lncRNA from 1 species
AUACCAUCUUUAUCCAUGGUUAAAACAUUUUAAUGAGCUCAUUUUCUUUAAGACAAAUAACUCAGUAUGAUAUAGAUAGAAACAUGGUAUAAUUUUUAGAAAUUAGAGAUGCUGAUUCUCAGAUUCACAAGGAAAGGAAUUUAUUCAAAGAGAAAUAACUUUUAUGGGGGGAUAAAAUGAGAGAGGAUGUGGGAAAAAGUAACAUACCAAAAUAUUUCUCAGAAGUUCAUUAUUGGAGGAAAAAACUGGACAAACUGAAAAUGUAGAGACUCCAGAAAAAGCCCAUAUUUAUUUGGAAACUCAGAAGUUAAGAUUAAGUUUCUAUUUUAAGUAAAUUGCAAAAUUAUGAUUUGAGUGAAGAAAAUAUACUACCAG